GAGCAAGACUAUUUCACGGUGGCAACGUC
rnacentral:piRNA from 1 species